UCGUCUUUAGUUGCUACCAUUUAGUUGGGCACUCUAAAGAAACUGCCGGUGAUAAGCCGGAGGAAGGUGGGGAUGACGUCAAGUCCUCAUGGCCCUUACGCGCUGGGCUACACACGUGCUACAAUGGCGGUGACAGUGGGCAGCAAACUCGCGAGAGUGAGCAAAUCCCCAAAAACCGUCUCAGUUCGGAUUGUUCUCUGCAACUCGAGAGCAUGAAGGCGGAAUCGCUAGUAAUCGCGGAUCAGCAUGCCGCGGUGAAUACGUUCCCAGGCCUU
rnacentral:rRNA from 1 species